rnacentral:RNase_P_RNA from 1 species
GUGGACGGAAGCUCAUUGCAGAGGUCACGUGCUGAGUGCUCGUCACUCCACCAAUCACCUCGGGGAAGGUCUGAGACAGGAGCCAAUCGUCGCCCUCGCAGGGCGUCACCUGAUGCAGGUGAGCGGGAGAACCAGAAACAUGGGCCGGAGAGUUGUUCCUCACAGGAGACGCUGGGCGGCGCACUUGAGCGCCUCCAGCUGAUGUGACGCUCUCAGGCUUGUAAUCUCCCGCGGCUGGCGCGUGAGUGCGAUGGAUGAGGUGGACACUGCUCCAGAACCCAAUUCAGACUACUCUCCGUCCAC